CCAUUGUUUGGUUGAUGGGAAAGCUGUGGAAAUUUUCCUUUUUGGUAUUUGUAUUUUGUGUUGAGUUCGUCCUUGAAUUAGGCCUGAAACAGUUGAAUUAGGUUCCUGAGUUCUGACUUGUUUUGCUUAUAACAAGCUUACAAAAUAUCAUUAUUUUCUGUUUUCAUUGAAACGAUUUGAUUUAAGUACGAAAUUUUGUCUAGAUUUCCUAAUGUGUGUGUGUCUGUAUGUCAAGUUAGCUCUGUUGAUUAUUUUCUUUGGAUUUGGAAUAUUAGCAAUAGAUGGCUACACUACCAUAUAUUGAAUAUCAUUUGUUGUGUUCUUGCUGGUCAAAAUCAGAUUAUUGAUGUACUCAGCAGUCAGUGUGAAACUUUUGCUUUAUUGGUUUUUCCCUGUUUUCUAUGUGCUUCUUUUUCAGUCUAUGAGCAUCCAACUAUCAUCCUUGACAAUUUGGAAUUAGAAACUUCUCAUUGUCUUAUUUGUCAUUUGGGUGCCAUGUUGUUCCAUCUAGGUGCACUGAUUGGCUGUCCUACAUAUUGCGUGGGAUUAUUUCUAGACUGUUUGAAUCAAUACAAUUGCAUCGAAGCUUCAAUUGCUAGCGGUUGCCCAAGUGCAGGAGUAUGGCCUUUGUCACUUCAUGGGUAAUGUGGAAUUCAAAUCAGCUUUGGUGUUCCGUUGAUUCCAUGCUUAAAGACGGGAAAAUGAGUUGUAGAAUAACCUCUUCUCUGCUUGCACUGCUGCCUUUAUUACUUUUGAGCUCUUCAUAUCUAAGCUCAUGGAAAAAAUGGUAUUAACUUUCAAGGGUGGGACUCGAGUUUUUGUUGCUAGAAUACCUACUAGUGUCACAGAUGAUGAUUUUGGCAGGAUCCAUUGACAAAACAUGGAGUUGGAUUUGUAAUGCAUGAAAAUGCAGGAAGUGGAGCUUGAGUCUUAAAGUUUUGUAUUCUGGUUUUUUGUUCAAGUGAAUUUGUAGAAUACAUAGUGUUAAUCAAGAGAUUCUAAACUAUAAACAUAGUGUUUGAGGUGUCAUUUGGAAGAUCGAUAAUUGUGGAACUUCAUCAUUUUUUGUACUGGUCUUCCAUUUUACCUCAUAGUAUUGUUUGGUCUGUUUUCAGAUUCAGUAUACC